rnacentral:rRNA from 1 species
UACGUAGGGUGCGAGCGUUAAUCGGAAUUACUGGGCGUAAAGCGUGCGUAGGCGGUUCGUUAAGUUCGUUGUGAAAGCCCCGGGCUCAACCUGGGAACUGCAAUGGAAACUGGCGGGCUUGAGUGUGGCAGAGGGGGGUAGAAUUCCACGUGUAGCAGUGAAAUGCGUAGAGAUGUGGAGGAAUACCGAUGGCGAAGGCAGCCCCCUGGGAUAACACUGACGCUCAUGCACGAAAGCGUGGGGAGCAAACAGG